GUCCCUUAAUUUGCCUUUUCUCUUAGGACAAUCAGUACCUUACAUUGGCCACAAGGUGGUAGUAGAGGGCCGUUAUUGUCCUUAAGAUUGAAUUUGAUACGUUUCCUUAGUGCACGAACAAGUGCAAGGGGUCAUCUUACCCAAAUACGCUAUCUUUUCUUUCUCUUGACGCACCCAGCUAUGUGUGGAUGCUACGCUCGAGCUAGAGCUAGAUUUACUUAGAAAACACACCAUAAAAGAGGUAUUUUGACACUAAAGUUAACUGCAGACGUUACGGAAGUAGACAAGAACCACCAGGCGUCUUUGAACCACGUAGAAAUCGAUAUUCCGGCUGUUUUUUUUUGAGGACUCUCUUCAGUGGGACUUUGAUCUUCAUCCAUCUGCCACUGUGUGUUGAUGUCCAUCCACGUCCAUAUCUCCAUCUCCAUCACACUGGGAUCGGCCAUCACCUCGGACCGUCUCAUCGGACAUUCAUUAUAAGGGGCCGACUGGUGACCUGUCCAGGGUGUCUCCUGUCUUUACCCUAAGUCAGCUGGGAUAGACUCCAGCGUCCUGCGACCUUAUUGAGGACUGAGCACUGUUUUGAUAAUGGAUGGAUGGACUCUCUACAGACUCUCGUGUCUGUGCCAAAUCCUUAUGAAAGCCUUCAGACUUCACUUCCAAGUGCGAUGGUCUACGAGUUUCCAAGUUUAGUCAACGAAUGCCAGCUUUUUCCACACUCUGAACUUUUCCCCCGACUCGCUCUCAGGUCUGCCCUGGGCAACAGACAGUUAACAUGUUACAGGGAGACGGAGAGAGAAAGGCAGAGCGAGAGGCCAUCAUCCAUGAAUAGGGAGUAUUCAGCCCUGCCUCUGCCUCAUUCCCACAGAGACCAGGCCCAGGCUGGAGUUUCACCUCGGUCUGGCCUGGUGAAAUCCAAACCUCUCCCAUCACAGACUCUGAUUCCCACUAGAAACACAUUAUUGAUUCCUCUCUGCGACCCCUUCAUAUUUUAUUAUUGCGAAGGUGAAAACGGAUAACAGGAAAGCUCAUAUCAGCACGUAGCAGAACAAUACCGCAUUGUGGCAGCUCAGCUCCACUCUACUGAAGAGGACAACUCCUCCUGAAAUCAUUCACAGCACCAGUGGCUGCACACAAUUAUGAUCCUGUGUUCAGCCUGCCCUGUGCCAAUAAUGAAUACACGGAUACACAAACACAAGACGGGAUUGUGAAUGAGCAUUCGAUAACAGCUGCUGUUGAAAGUGGAGCUCUGCUUGCAUAAGCUGCCCACUGUCCUGCUGAGAAAGUCUGUGGCUUCACAGUAAGGCAGCGGUGGUUGUGUUUGUCAGGCCAGUUCCCCCUAAAUGAAUGUUGAAAAUAUGGCGAGUGCUGACUCUGACUGCAUGAAGCAAGAUGUAACAUCACUAUUGUUUUGGCCUCUCUGAGGGGAAUAAAGCUCCUUCUCUCAGCUCGUGGGUUGAGUUUGCCUCUGGGUUGGUAUGUCAGAAAAAAACCUACGUCAGAAGCUGCUCCAGAAUUCACAACUCAAAGUGAAACUUCAAAGCAGAGGAAAGUAGCUCUGAGGAUAUUAUUACAAAUAAUAAUCAGAAUCUUGUGUUGGAGUUGAGGGUGUGGAUGAUGUGACAAUCCGUCUCCCUUCCUCUUUCUCUCUCCCCUCCUCUGUCACGCUCUUCCUCCAGUUAGGGAGUUUGCUGUGAUGACUCACCGUUAUUGGAGGUGUUUUUUUAAACAGCUUGAGUGACAUCCAUGUAUCUUUUUUUCUCCUUUUUUUGCAUUAACUGCAGCCAUCUGUCUUGUUCAGGAGCACAGAUGCAGGUUUGGAUUUAGAGACGGGCUGCAGAUCGCUCUGUGUGAUUAGUACUCUCCUGAGCCACGUUCAUGUAUUUCUGUCAUUAUUUCUACAGCUGAGAGAACAGGUUGAUUGAGAGGUGUAAUAAUCACCGGGGAAGGAUGAGAGUGCAAACAUCUGAGCUUUUACAACUACCCUGCCAAAAUCCCCAUGUAGAGGUGAUCUUCGUUAGAAGCAUUUGAAGUUGGAUUGUCUUUUAACUCGACUUAGUUUAGGUGCACUACUAUAGAAUGUGAUCCCUCAACGGCCUCCCACCAACAAAUACAACUAGUUCUUUUAGGAAGACGUUUAAAGAUGCACUUUUUUAUAACGAGAUUAGUGUCACAAGCUUUCACACUCAUCCCUCCUUUUGUUCUCAAGUUAUGGCAUUGAAUAAGAAAAAUGUUUGUGCAGAAGAUUGAGGCUGAUCUUUGACCUUUUGGACAGAAAACAUCAUCACUUCAUCAUUUUAUCCUAUUAGAUAUUGGUGGUAAAUUUUGUCACGAUUACCGCAUGAUAAUGACAAUGUUAAAGGAGAAAUAUGUUGUUCACGGUGACAAACCCCACAGAGAUUCUGUUUUCUGCUGCUUCCCUCAGUCCUACAUAGCAUUUUAGCUUCUUUGAGCUAACUGUUCUUGUUUCACAGCUUUAAUGUUUUGGAUUCAGUCUCAUGGCAGUUUUCAUUAAAAUAAUCAGAAACACUUCUAUAAUGAAUGCCAAAAUUAUUCUGUGUCAUCAUAUUGACUUUCUAAAGUGACUGUAAUAGUUCCAGCUUGUUGCAUUGCACCACGCAAACUAAAAAACAACCCCAAAACAAA